UGAGGAAUAUUGCGCAAUGGAGGAAACUCUGACGCAGCCAUGCCGCGUGAGUGAAGAAGGCCUUAGGGUUGUAAAGCUCUUUCAAUGGUGAAGAUAAUGACGGUAACCAUACAAGAAGCUCCGGCUAAAUUCGUGCCAGCAGCCGCGGUAAUACGAGUGGAGCAAGCGUUGUUCGGAAUCACUGGGCUUAAAGCGUAUGUAGGCGGACUUGAAAGUCAGAAGUGAAAUCCCGGGGCUCAACCCCGGAACUGCCUUUGAAACUCCAAGCCUAGAAUCCUGGAGAGGUCGGGGGAAUUCCGAGUGUAGAGGUGAAAUUCGCAGAUAUUCGGAGGAACACCAGUGGCGUAGGCGCCCGACUGGACAGGUAUUGACGCUCAGAUACGAAAGCGUGGGGAGCAAACGGGAUUAGAUACCCCCGUAGUCC
rnacentral:rRNA from 1 species